ensembl:lncRNA
CACACACACACACACUGCUGUGGGGCUGCAGGACGACAGCACACAUGUACAGGGACAUCAUGUGAAGGGCAGGGAGGAUUUACACACACACGCACACACACACACACACACACACAAGCAGAGUGGUGCCUGUGGAAGGGGUUUUGGCAGCAGCAGAGACCAGAGAGUCCGUGGUGGGGAACAGUCUUGAGGAGGGAAGCCUUUUCUACUCACAGCCUGAAGAUGAAGGGAAUGGGCCUAUGAGGACGGACUACAAGACCAUGUGAGCAGGCUGCCGGUCGUCGCAGACAUCCCGCUGAAGUGCUCUCGGUGUUCUGCUGAGAUCCGCACGGACAUCUGUAAGGUAACCCCCCCCCGUCAGCGGUCUCCUCAAGACACACGUAGAGGCACCAUGGGCAACUGGCUGCAGUGUUGUCACUCGGUCACAAACUACCUGUGGCGCCGUGCCGUCCCGGGGACGGGGGGCGGCCCGGAGCGCUCCCCCCUGCUGUCCACGGACGGCAGCGACUCCGAUUGGCCGACCCGGCCGGAGGACCAGCAGGACGAGCUGCUGACCGUCAGCGGCGCGUCCGACCGGGUGGCGCUGGAGCGGGAGCACUUCCUGUUCCCCGACAUCAUCCUGAGCAGCAGCGGCGUGCCGGUGGAGCCCAUGGUGUGUCUCCUGGUGUGCGAGGAAGACGAAGAGGGAGGAGGAGGAGGAGGAGGAGUGUAUGAGAGGGCGGACGGGGCUGGAGAACACAGGCUGUGGGUGGAGGUGGAGACUCAGACGGAGAGGCAGGAGAGGCAGGGGGUCAUGGGGGUCCAGACCCAGACCCAGCAGCAGGCCGAGGUGCAGACCCAGACCGACAUGCUGACGUGGAGGGACCUGCCCGCCACCGUCCCGGAGGAGACGAUCGGGCGGGUUUGCAGAGAGAACCAGUUCAAUGCAACAACAACAACAACGUGCGCACGAUUAGAAGCCCAGACCGGCCUGGGACCCUGGUCCGGCGAGCGCCCGGAGAGUUUGCCCGGCGGGAGGGUCCCGGCCCGUCCCGGCCCCCAGUCAGAAGUC